UUCAUGCUAUAUGCGCUUUGAUAUCUAAACGAGGGAAUACUGAAUAGUGAAUUAGAAUACUUUAUUCUUUCAAAAUUCUAGACAGAAAGCUUAUUUAGUAUUGGUUUAUUAUUGUCCCAUGUACCAAGAUAGAGUGAAAAGCUUGUCUUGCAUUCUGUUUAUAGAGAUCAAAUCAUUACACAGUACAUUGAUGUAGAAUAAGGUAAGCCAAUAACAAUGCAGAAGGAAGUGUAAACGCUAUCAAAAAGGUGCAGUGCAAGUACGUGAUAAAGUGCAAGAUCACAGCGAGGCAGAUUGUGACACCAAGAGUCCAUUCUAUUGGAUUAAAGGUCUGUUCAAGAGUCUGCUAUCAGCUGCCAGGUAGAAGCUGUCAUUGAUCCUGAUGUACGUAUACACUUUCAGGCCUUUGUAUCUUUCAGCUGAAGAGAGAGAAGAGAAGAGAAAAUGCCUAGGCAUAAAAUCUGUGAGAGUGAAUUUUCAGCCUCAUUACUCCGUGGCAGCCAAGGUUCCCCACCUGAGUCCGUCUCGCCUGGCUGCAUUUGACCCGUCUCCUCGCUACCGGGCCAAGUUCACAGGUUUGAUGCCACGCUGCUAGGUUCAGAAACAGUUGUCCUACAACUACCGGGCCUCUGGACCAGCUUCCCUCCUCUCAGGACUGAACAUACUCCACAGUCUGUGAACUCACUCAAGGGGACUCUGCAGUUCUCGCUCUCGGUACUUUUUCUUUUUGGCCACGAACUUAUCAAUCACCCCUGCUGUGGACCACUUUCUGGAGGUCCAAGAUGCCGACUUCUACAAAGAAGGGAUCCGUAUGCUCCACGACCGCUGGACUAAGUGUGUAAAUGUAGGAGGGGACUAAGUUGAAAAAUAAAUGUGCUAGGCUUUCUAAAAUUGACUCCCUCUACCUUAGGCAACGAACUUAUCAAUCACCCCUCGUAUUUGUCUAGCCCAUCCUCACUCUAGGGUAAGGUUAUAUUCCAUGUGCGUUUGGGCAGCUGUUAGCAGGCAGCGUGGGAAAUUGGGUGGCGGUUAAAUACAACGAAUAUAGUCGCCUGUUCACCAGCAUGGCGGCAUGAAGAGGGGGUGGUGAGUCAGGAGCACAUAUUUUUCACUGACUGCUCAUCUUUGAAUCUUAUCCAAUUACCUUUACACGAAUUACGGAAGAGUCGAAUGAUUUUACUGUUGGUUUGUAAGAAAGGACUAACACUUACUUUUUCAACUUGGAAUUCAGUUACUUGGAUGCACGUCAUACAGUGAGAUACUCCCUCACUUAGCCUUUCAGUGACUUUUAGCUUGUUUUUAGUCGCUACAUGUAGUUUAGUGACGUCUCUGACAAGGUCCCACAUGGGACAGUGGACCAAAACAUAAGAAAACCCGGGAUCCAGGCCAAUUUGGCAAAUUGGGUCUUUAAUUGGCUUAGUAAUACAGGGCAGAGCGCGAUAAAGGAUUUUUGUUUUUGUCCAAACGACAGCCUUUAGCUACUAAAUAACAUCAGAGGGUUGGUAGGAUGGCCAUAGAAAAGGCAGGUGGAAAAUAACGUAAUUUAAAUAUGAGGAGGUGCAUUUUGGGAGAGCUACUAAAGCUAGGGUUCACACAGUAAGUGGGAGGAUACUAAGAACCACUCAACAACAGUGGAAUCCUUGACGAGAGCAGCACAGAGAGAUAAGGUGGUUAGGAAGGCAGAUGGAAAAACUCGGAUUCUUUAUCUCGGACUUACAAUGCAAGAGGAUGGUGGUUUUGCUACGGCUCUGUAAAACAUUAGUGGGGUCAUCUGAGGUCACAGUCACUACAAUAUAGUAAGGAUAUGCUUACACUGGAGGGAGAGCAAAGGAGAUUCGCCAGGAUGUGGCCUCAGAUCAAGUGUUUCAGUGAUGACGAG